CCGCCAGCCCCGCGGGGAACGCCUGGCUCGCACCGCACCGCACCGCACGGCCCCGGGCUAGCCCGGGUGCAGAGAGGAGCGGCCGGGGCUUAGGGUGUAUUUGUGCCCCCCGCAGCUUCCUGCACCCCAAGCCCCGCCGCCCGCCCCCAGCAGCAGCGUCGCUCCCCUGCCUGGCCAGCGCCUUUCCCUGGCACCCCUAGAUACCUACUGCAGGGUGGGACAGCCUGCUUGUCUCUGCGGCGUGUAGCUACAGGACCAGCACAAAAUCUGGCCCAUUCCUGUCAUCAGAUCCACAUGGGCCACACUGGAGCUCCCUCUGGCAUCAGAUGUCUGGCACAGAUUGUGUUGCAGGAUCAGAGCCCCAGACAGUCCCUGCCCUGAGGAUAGUGAAGACGUUUACAAAAAGGUAGUGAAGAAAAGCUUAGAGACAUGAACCCCAGGUAACUGAUGCAGCAACGUCUGCCUGAGUCUGCAGACAGCCUGAAACAACACCACUAAGAGGGAUGAACUGUACCAUUCAACUCAGUGUUAACGCCAAGACCCACUGCCCUGUGUGGCUCUGCUAACACCAACCCAGCGGAGGACUGUGUGUGUGACAGGAGGAGAAGAGUGCAGCAGGCCUUGCCCACUUGUCCUGUAGCUGGGAUAUAGCUCCUAGGGUGCUGUUACAUUACACGUUACCAAACUCAGGCCUCAGCUGAAAAAAUGUGGUGAUAGUGUGUUUGCAUUUUGUAUUUGACUCUGAAGCCUGUUGGAACCAGGGAGAUCGUCUUUGGACACAGCCAUUACACUGAAUACCAAUUGGGCAAUAUGAGCCUGAUUAUUUCUGUCCUGCAUGAUGGAACAGUGAAACCUGAAGACAUCCCUGAUUGAGAUGCUGGUUGCUGGGAUUCAAACACAUUAUCUUGUAUUUUCUCUCAUAAUUGUUCUCCAGGAAACCUGCAAGACUUCCAGAAAUGCAAGGUGGAUACAAAUCAGGACAGGAAUAGAGAUUGUUCAGACUCUUGCUAAAGAAAUCAGAAGCCUUAAUGAUAGUUUCUCCCCAUAUCUUUUUAUAAAUCAUCUCCAGAGGAUCAAGAUGGAUGCUAACAGGGAAAAGGAAGAAGCAGCCUUUGGAAUUCCCCAAGCAGUAAAAGCCUGGGAAGACUUUAUAAAGUUUGAGAUCAGCAAAAUCACAGAUGAUAGGAGGCCUUAUUGUAGAUAUCCAUGGACAAAUGCACCCUGAGCAAUGGAUAGAAUUAGGUUUCACCCUUUCAAAAGCAUCACUCAACUCAGGGAAGUUUUCUGCAUCAGGCUCUUCUAUUCGCUAUCUUGCAAACCAGGCGCACAGUGUUUCCUUUGAGACUUUGCUCAGAGGAUCCAGAAGCUUGAGUAAAUUUAUUGAAGACCAGGACAACAACCAGUACCUUUGUGUUCCUUCUCCAACAAACCCCAAGCCAAAAACUGGGAAUUACAAUGGAGGCUAUAUCACGAAGACUUUUGGGUCUAGGUAUACUGGCAUUGUCAAUGUUAUUCAUAUUGAGCUUCCCCAGUGGGUGAGGAAUAUUAAAGUGUAUCCCAAGUUUUGUAAAGCAUUAGCAAGGGCUAUAAUAAAUUUCUGGCAAUAAAUCUCUGCAGCCAGAGAAACCAUAAGCUUCUAGGAUGAUAAAGGAAACAGACGUGUGUUAGCAUGGCUACUUUGCAAAGUAUAACAAUUAGUCUGAUGCACAGGAAUAUGGAUUUCCAUUUGGCUUUAACGUGCUUGGACUUCUUUAGGAAUAAAGCAGUGGGGCAGUGAAGGAAAAGAUCUAGAAUGCAAACAAAUGCAAUUCCAACGAUAAAAGGACAGUUGUCCGUACUGAAAACCCAUAACUAAUAGCAACAAACGAAUUACUAAACCAAUGCUUAUUAGUAGACCCCAUAAAAAAGAUUGGUAACUUUAGUGGUGCCCAGGCCAAACUGAGUGAGGGUAGCUGCAUUUCACCUACCUACUACAUCACUACUUUAUCUUGCUGAGAAAAUAUUUUUAGAUUCUGCAAUUUUGGUACCAUUCCUCCAAAUGACAUGGACCCUCCCUGAGACUGGUCCAUACGCCUGUUCUACAAUGAGUGGAGUGUAAGCAGAAUCCUGAGCUCAUUGAAAACCCUGGUGGAAGUUCCCUCUGGCUUCAAAGGGUACGGGAUCAAGCUUUUUGGUACAUGGGCUAAGAAUUCAAUGCCUACUGUCAUGAUGAUGGAACAGAGAGAGAAGCAAUUUUCUCUUUUCCAAUCUGUAGAGAGGAAGGUCUACAAUACAAUGAACCACAAUAUUCCUAAUAAAGAAUUAUUCUAUCUGCAUUGUGCAAUGCACAGAUAAAAUGUUAAAAUAGUUUUCUUAUUGAAAUGACGUAUGUCUCUUAUUAGGGGUAUUUUAAAAUAGAUAGGACCUUGUCAGACAAUGCCUAAUUUUGAUAAUAUAAACUUCAUGUAGGCUCUCUGGGACUGGGAUCAUUUUUUUAUUUGUCCAGUGCCUGGCACAGUGGGGUCCUAGUCCAUGAGUGGGGCUCUUAGGUGCUGUUGUAAUAGAAACAACUGCGCUUACUUGGCUUAGUCUACUGCAGGUUUUACAUUUAUCAAAGAAAAAGCUUCUUGAGCCUUACCCAGACUAUGCAGUGGUCCUGUUAAAUCUAAGCAGCUCUGGGCUGGGGUUAGUACUUGGAUGGAAGAUCUCCAAAGAAAGCACAUGUGCUGCAGGAAAUAGCCGAGGUGAUUCUGUACAUAGCAUUCUUACCUCUCGGAGCCUGGACCAUUGCCGACUGAAGUCAGUGGAAAUCAUUCCAUUAACUUAAUUCAGCAUUGGAUUGACCCAUCAGUCAGUACGGCAUAUAGCAUUGUUAGGGCAUGGCCACUGUGCUAUUGGGAAUAUCAUCAACAAAUGGAACAAUGGCGAAGCUGAUAGCAAUCUGAGUACAAAUCAGCAUUUAGGAAAUGCAGACAAUAAGGUAAGUUAAAAAAGUCUGUGGGCAGUAAGAAUGAAAGGGCACUAACAAGAAAUUUCUUAAAUCAGGAACAAAUGAAAUCCUAGUAGGGUGCAGGUCUGAUACUAGAUAAAGAUAGUAAAAUCGCCAAUCAUAAGGCACAUAUAUUCAGUAAAUAUUUCCAUUCUGUAGUUGGAAAGAAGCAGGAUGAUGUAGUCAUAUUUUACAACAAAAUUCCAUCAGUAACUAAGGAUGAUAAAAUAGUUAUUAAAAAUUGUUCAAUAGAUAGGGCUGGAGAACUUGCACACAGAAGUAUCAAAAGAAUUGGCCAAAGAAGUCUCUGAACCAUGAAUGUUAAUUUUUAACACAUCUUAGAACAUGGGGGAAAGUUUUAGAGGACUAGGAAUAUACUAAUUUGCCAAUAUCUUAAAAAUGUAAAUGACCCAGGUAACAAUAGGCUGGUGAACUGGACAUCACUUCUGGGCAAAAAUCAUGAAAGGGCUGAGAUGAGAUGCAAUUAGUAAAAAAUUAGCUGGCAGCAUAUUUAAUGCCAACCAACAUGGUGUGACGUAGGUCUCAAACAACGUUCAUAGUGUUUUUUGAUGAGUUGGCAAGAUUGGAUGAUAAAGGUAACUGUUGACAUAAGAGUUCUGUAAGGCAUUUGACUUAGUCCUGCAUGACAUUCUGAUCAGAAAACUAACACAAUACAAAAUCAAUGCAGCCCACAUUAAAUGGAUUAAAAACUGAUAGAUCACAAAAAGUAAUUGUAGAUUGUGACUUGCCCUCCAAUGGCAGUGCUCCUAGUGUGGUCCUGCAGGGAUCUGUUCCCAGCCCAGUGUUAGUCAAUAUCUUUAUCAAUGAUCUGGAAGAAAAUAUAAAAACCUUGCUGGACAGGGACCAGCCUGGAUAACUUGG